rnacentral:lncRNA from 1 species
AUGGUCCUAGGACACCUCCUCCUCCUCCUUCUCCUUGUGGCCUUGCAGGCCCCUGGCAUCCAGGCUGCUCCAUGGCGAAAGCCGAGAGCAGAUGUGCCUCCAGAGAGGGCUUUUCCAGCCCUUCCACGGCCUCCUGUGAUGGAUCCAAGCAGGCAUCCCAAGGCUGUCCUUGUUGGUGAUGAGUACAGAGUUUCUUGGUCUAAUCCUCCCCGUGAGCCUCAGGGUGAUUCUGAGGUUACAGAUGUGCCCCCCGAGAAGGCUUUUCCAGGUCUUCCGCGGCCUCCUGUGCUGGAUCCAAGCUGGCAUCCAAGGGGUACUCAGAGAGCACAUUAUACAGCUAGAAGAGGAAAAAAAUCCCCAAAGAAAUCAGAAGCCUUGGAGAAAAUGUUGAAGGAACUGGCGCAGGCAGCAUCUGAUACAUCUGCAGAAACUAUGCAGAAGGAAGGAAGCCGUCGCAUGCCGUCAGUUUCUGGUGUAAAAAGAAAGGCAAUGCACGCAACUAGCAUGCCAUGGGCAGACUCUGGGAAAAAUACAAAGGCAGUCAGUGACAAACGUCAGCGGUUGUACAGUACAAUGUCUUUUGUGGUCCCGAUGGCGCUGCUGUCUUUGCGUCUGAUGCUUUUAGUUAACAAACUGCUCCAGAAGAAAAGAGAGCUAACGGAAGAGAGUGAAGAGGGAGCACCGGGACAAGCUAACACUGAUGCUGCCUCGACUGGAGAAGAUCAAACUGGAGAUGCAGCAUCAAAAGAAGAAACAAAAUGA